GUUAUCAUUAAGUUUGCUAGUUCAUCUGUCAGUCAGAUCUAUUCCAAGGCAGAGGAUAUAUUAAGUCCUGUCUUCCCUAUGCUUGGUGGGAAUCCAUUCCAGGAUAAGCACUGAUUCUUCUAACCAUCAUCUGGUAUUCUGUGCAGAAUCGGCUCCGUACAUUAGACUUUCUUUGAGAAUUUAAUGAUCUUACUGCUGAGAUAUCACAAUUGGCUGGGCCAGUUCUUCUUGGGGACUUUAACAUUCACAUCGAUAAACCUUCAAAGUCUGAUGUAGCUCAGUUCCUAUCCAUCAUAGAAUCAUAGAAUCUGCUAACUUGGUUCAAUAUGUCAUCACACCUUGUAAUGACCAGAGAUGAGAGUAAUCGUCAAGGACAAUACUCUGCAGACAUCUGUCCUACCCAUCAUGGCUGCAUCAUUGAAGACAUUGUCAUUCAUCAUAGUCUCAUGUCUGAUCAUCACAGCAUCCGAUUUGUACUCAGGUAACCUCGGCCGGUGGUUAAGAAAGUUAAGCGGACUUUCAGGAACUUCAAGGAAAUGGACAUCAAAGGAUUUAAUGAGGCACUGAUUGACAAACUUUAUAAUGACUUGUCCUCGGCUGGUGAUGUUGAUUCAGUACUUACUGCGUAUAACACAUCUGUUGCAGCCUGCGUUAAUGAGUUUGCUCCUCAGAAAUCAUGUCUCCGCUCCACAAGGGUUCGCAGUCCUUGGUUCUAUGAGGAAAUCCUUACUGCCCGUCGAGAAAGAAGACAGAUUGAACGGAAAUGGAUCAAAAGUUCUUAUGACACUGAUCACACAUCUUUUAAGCUAGCUAACAAGCAUGUUAACGACCUCAAAGUUAAGGCUAAGCAAAAAUACUAUACGGAGUUACUACAUGUAUGUCAAAACAUGUUGUUAAUAAUCUGCUCCACAAGAAUGUUAAGUUUCUCCCUGAGUAUGGUAAUCCUAUUGAUCUAGCAAAUCGUUUUUCUUUGUUCUUUGUCAUCAAGUGCAUCAAAAUAUCCAUUUUUAUUAUUAUUAUUACAGUUAUCAUGGCUUAAGAACUACUGUUCUUUAAUCAUUCUAUCAUUUACCCUAACUUACCUAUGACAUUUUUUGCGAUAAUUCCGCCAUGUUAAAUACUUUUACCAUGCUUUUCCCUACUCUUUACUUUCAAGUCUUGUGCAACUUUUGAGACCAAAUUUGUUACAGCUUGUUGUUAUGCGAUAUAGGAAUAUUGUAAUUUUAUGGUUAUUACAGACUUCAAAUUGCUAAAGAGCAUGAUUUCAUGUAGUAACAUUCUAGACAUCAAGACUUAUCUCUUUUCAUUGUUGUAGUGCAAUGUAGUUCAACUAAAUAUUACAAUAUAAAGUAGGAUGCUAUGUAUAUUUAAUGUAGCUUUAUGUGAGUAUAAUGUAAAAUAAUAUUGUUCUAUAAUGAAACUCAACUUAAUAAUUGCUCAAAAAUUUGUAAUAAAUAAUUUGUAAAGCGUAUAGAGAUCACAA